rnacentral:rRNA from 1 species
AUUGAACGCUGGCGGCAUGCUUUACACAUGCAAGUCGAACGGCAGCGCGGGCUUCGGCCUGGUGGCGUGUGUCGGACGGGCGAGUAAUGCACCGGAACGUGCCCAGUAGUUUGGGAUAGCCCGGCUAAAGCCGGAUUAAUAUCGCACCCGACCCUAUGGUGAAAUGGGGGGUCCGAAAGGCCUCGGCUGUUUGGAUUGCCCGUGGUCGUAUUAGCUGGUUGGUGGGGUAAAGGCUUACCAAGGCACCGAUCCGUAGCUGGGCUGAGAGGACGACCGGUCACACUGGGACUGAGACACGGCCCAGACUCCUACGGGAGGCAGCAGUGGGGAAGUUUCGACAAUGGGGGCAAGCCUGAUCCAGCAAUGCCGCGUGAGUGAAGAAGGCCUUCGGGUUGUAAACCGCUUUUAUUAGGGAAGAAAUCCUGUGGGCUAAUACCCCGAGGGGAUGACGGUACCGGAUGAAUAAGCAACGGCUAACUACGUG